rnacentral:rRNA from 1 species
CCCUUAGAUGUUCUGGGCCGCACGCGCGCUACACUGAUGCAUUCAACGAGUUUCUUCCUGGUCCGAGAGGAAUGGGUAACCUUUUGAAAGUACAUCGUGAUAGGGAUAGACUAUUGCAAUUAUUGGUCUUCAACGAGGAAUUCCUAGUAGACGUAGUUCAUCAGACUGCAUCGAUUACGUCCCUGCCCUUUGUACACACCGCCCGUCGCUCCUACCGAUUGAAUGCUCAGGUGAGCCAUUCGGACCUUCAUCAUGCCGGUUUCCGGUUUUGAUGAGGGAGAGUCUUGCGAACCUUAUCAUUUAGAGGAAGGAGAAGUCGUAACA